AUUGAACGCUGGCGGCAUGCCUUACACAUGCAAGUCGAACGGCAGCACGGGAGCAAUCCUGGUGGCGAGUGGCGAACGGGUGAGUAAAGUAUCGGAACGUGCCCAGUCGGGGGGGAUAACGUAGCGAAAGUUACGCUAAUACCGCAUACGAUCUAUGGAUGAAAGCGGGGGAUCGCAAGACCUCGCGCGAUUGGAGCGGCCCAUAUCAGAUUAGGUAGUUGGUGGGGUAAAGGCUCACCAAGCCGACGAUCUGUAGCUGGUCUGAGAGGACGACCAGCCACACUGGGACUGAGACACGGCCCAGACUCCUACGGGAGGCAGCAGUGGGGAAUUUUGGACAAUGGGCGAAAGCCUGAUCCAGCCAUGCCGCGUGCAGGAUGAAGGCCUUCGGGUUGUAAACUGCUUUUGUACGGAACGAAAAGGUUUGGCCUAAUAAGCUGAGCUCAUGACGGUACCGUAAGAAUAAGCACCGGCUAACUACGUGCCAGCAGCCGCGGUAA
rnacentral:rRNA from 1 species